AUGGAAGGCUAUGUCAGAGGGGAAGUAGAUGAACCGGCGAACAGGGAAAGUGAAGAGUGGAAGAAGUGGAGUGUCAUUGACUCUCUGGUGGUGGCAUGGCUGCUGAACUCCUUGACCCCAUCCAUUGCAGCAGCCGUGGAGACUGUUCCCCAUGCAGCAGAGGUAUGGAAAACCCUGGAAACAUUGUACUCCGAGAAAGGGAACAUAAUGCUUAUGGCGCAGAUUGAGGAUAGAGUAAAUGAGCUAAAACAAGGGGAUAAGUCGGUGAUGGAGUAUGUAGCAGAAUUGCAGCAUUUGUGGGCUGACUUAGACCACUAUGAUCCACUAGAGUUACCACAUUCAGAAUGUAUAGUUGCUACUAAGAAGUGGGUAGAGCGUAGGAGAGUGAUGAAAUUCUUGAAGGGACUUAGCUCAGAAUUUGAAGGAAGGCAUGCUGGGUUGUUUCAUCAGCCAAAGCUCCCCUCGCUUGAGGAGGCAGUUGUAGCAAUGGCAGUUGUAGCAAUGGCACAGGAGGAGGUCAGGUUGUAG
rnacentral:rRNA from 1 species